GGGGUUGUGGCUCAGUGGUAGAGUACUUGCCUAGCAGGCAUGAGGCUCUGGGUUGGAUCCUCAGAACCACA
rnacentral:tRNA from 1 species